rnacentral:rRNA from 1 species
AUUGAACGCUGGCGGCAUGCCUUACACAUGCAAGUCGAACGGCAGCACGGGGGCAACCCUGGUGGCGAGUGGCGAACGGGUGAGUAAUGCAUCGGAACGUGCCCUGAAGUGGGGGAUAACGUAGCGAAAGUUACGCUAAUACCGCAUAUUCUGUGAGCAGGAAAGCAGGGGAUCGCAAGACCUUGCGCUUUAGGAGCGGCCGAUGUCGGAUUAGCUAGUUGGUGGGGUAAAAGCUCACCAAGGCGACGAUCCGUAGCGGGUCUGAGAGGAUGAUCCGCCACACUGGGACUGAGACACGGCCCAGACUCCUACGGGAGGCAGCAGUGGGGAAUUUUGGACAAAUGGGCGCAAGCCUGAUUCAGCCAUGCCGCGUGAGUGAAGAAGGCCUCGGUUGUAAG